UACGUAGGCAGCGAGCGUUGUUCGGAAUUACUGGGCGUAAAGAGUGUGUAGGCGGUGCUCUAAGUUCGGUGUGAAAUCUCCUGGCUCAACUGGGAGGGUGCGCCGGAAACUGGAGUGCUUGAGCGUGGGAGAGGAAAGCGGAAUUCCUGGUGUAGCGGUGAAAUGCGUAGAUAUCAGGAGGAACACCUGUGGUGUAGACGGCUUUCUGGACCAUAGCUGACGCUGAGACACGAAAGCCAGGGGAGCGAACGGG
rnacentral:rRNA from 1 species